rnacentral:rRNA from 1 species
UACAGAGGUCCCAAGCGUUGUUCGGAUUCACUGGGCGUAAAGGGUGCGUAGGUGGUGAGGUAAGUUUGAUGUGAAAUUUCCGGGCUCAACUCGGAAAUGGCAUUGAAUACUAUCUCGCUUGAGGUUUGGAAGGGGGAUUGGAAUUCCCGGUGUAGCAGUGAAAUGCGUAGAUAUCGAGAGGAACACCAGUGGCGAAGGCGAAUCCCUGGACAACACCUGACACUGAGGCACGAAAGCUAGGGGAGCGAACAGG